AACCACCGUGGGUAUUAACCAGCCUGCGCAGAUCCCUGAACCAAAAUCGUGCCAUUACUCGGACAAUGAACCUUACCCUCACCACUACAGUCGUCCCAUCAAUCUGUUCACCUGCACGCACACACAAAAAGAGUAUACAGGUGGUCUUAUCACCCAAUGCUCGAGGCACACACAACAGGGUCACCCCGUCGUACACAAGCUCUCCCUCCACUCUUGAAAAAAAACACUAUCUUAGUAUGCCUAGUCAAAUCAACCCCAGCCUAUAAGUAUCGUAUUCGGUACUUCCUCGUACUCCAACCAAGGUGGAUAUCUCUGUAAGCUAGCGCCGCCUGAAACUCCCGAAAAUCUUAUCAGAGAUGAUGAUUCUUUUUGUUCUGACACCUUAAAUCAAAUCACGUCUCAUCCCAUCAUCUAGGGGAGAACACCCAUCACCCUUGUAAAUAGUCCUCACACGUCUUCCGCCAUCUCCACACCACCAUUUCUUUGCAACCAUCAUUCUCCCCUUCUUGCUAUUCAGAUCCUUUCAAUGUAUGUGUACUGACCUACCUCUCAAAGAGCACCAACCAAUUCUCUUAUGUGGUGAUAUAUUCGCAACAUGAGGAACCUUCCACCUUUCGACCGCCCAUUCCUCCUGCUACCCGUUGGGGUAGAUGGGUUGUCGAGCUGGUACAUUACCGGAGGCGCUGAGGGCAAACCAUCUCGUGGUACUACAAUGAGAUCGCUAAAAGCACCACCACACAAGAAUGGGGAUGGCAUGAUCUUGGCCUCAUAAAACCUUGAACAAAUCUCCCACUCCACACUCUCCAAUCGUUCUGACAAGAAAAUUUGCCUGCUAUACGGACCUGUUUGCUUCGCAACAAUGCUAAUAGAGCUUAUACCAUACAAGGGCCAAUGUUCUAGGCAAACUUGGUUACAACAAAGCCCACCCUCCAUCAACUCCGUCUAAUGGUGCGGCAAUCCGCAUAUUUGGAUGAAAGGAAUGUGAUCCACUCCCUUUCACUGAUGACCUUUCAAGUUCCCGCAAAUUAUGACUUGGUCCGGAAUGGAACAUAUAUUCCGACCUUGACCUGCCACAAGAACCACCUCAAUCCUAUGGCAAUCCCCUUGUCAACCUAUUUUGGGAUUGCAAGGGUGUAGAACUAAAGAAUUUCCUUAAGAAAAUGCUCAACCUUGUCACACUCUACCACCCCAAGCUCGUUAUCAUCUCGCAAACUCGCGUUCAGGGGUGGAGCCAGAAGUUAGGUUCAGUGAGUCAAAAUUGUAGAAUUUAUAAAAUUUAGGGCAAAUUACUAAUUUUUGAAGGGUCAAAAUUGUCAAAACUUAGGUUCAGGGUCAAAAUUACCAAAACUUAGGUUUGACGGGGUCAAAAUUAUAGAAUUUAUAGAAUUUAGGACAAAUUACUAAUUUUUUGUGAGGUCAAAAUUGUAUAUAUGAUAAAUUAUAUUAGGGAUAGUAGUAUAAUUUUUUUGAGUGGGGUCAAUUGACCCCACUUGCCCCAGUGUGGCCCCACCCAUCCUCGCGUUGGAGACGCCACCGCACGAUGCCUGAGCGGUUUGCUCGGUUUCACAAACGGACUACUAGUGGAGCCCCUUAACUUUGGGGGCAAAAUAUGGUUAUGUGCAACAAUCAUAAGAUAGAUUGUGAUAUCUUGGCAGUCGACUCCCAACACAUUCAUGCUUUUGUUUACAGGUGAUGGGCGCUCAACCAACAAUCUCACCUCGGGAUAGCUAAUAUUAAGAAAUCACCAUUUUUAAAGUCUACAUAUGCAUUGUAUUUCCUUCUCUCUCCUACAAUGACUUUAUCUCCAAUCCUUUCAUUCUUCUCUCCACAAGCAUAUUAUUUUCUCCAAAUAUUAAAUCUCCAAAUAUUUUUUUUUUAAAAAAUCAUUAUAGCAAAGUAAAUACUCAAUACCAAAUGCAUGCGCACUCUUGAUAGUUAGCAAGAGCACGCAAACGGGGGCAUAUUGUUGGUAUGGACCUCCAUUCCAAGUGAUACCACAAAACUGGCUCCACGUGAUUCCACAAAACCGACUCCAAGUGAUGCCAACUCAUGGGGUACCCCCCAAUCCUACUCAUAAUCCUGGGCUUUAGGCAAGGCUCAUGGCUCCACUCGGGACCACCAGAAGGAUAAGUGGCUUGGAGGUUAGAGUUAAGGAUCGUCAAGGUUCGCUCGGCCAACCCACCUUAGGGUUGGCUCCACCUUGACCAGUCUUGAGACUAAGAGGAUGUUGACCCUACGACUUCUGACCCAUUGGAACUCGUAUCACAAUAACAGCGACCCUUCACAACUACCAUAUGUCAUCCCUUGAUACGGCCUCCAAGAUCUGAAACCUACCACCUUUCAUCCCAUGUAUAACCUUUAAGGUCUUAAACCUUGGAUGGCAAGCAUCCUAGGAAGAGUCGAACCAAAGGAGGACGCCACGCGUCCCAUGCAAGUUAGCUCCCCUUUUGUCCGACCACUAUAUAAAUGGUCCCUCAUUUAUUGAACUCACCAACUCUUA
rnacentral:lncRNA from 1 species